GGAGUUGGUAUCUCAAUGGUAGAGAGCCUGCUUUGUAUGUAUGAUGUCCUGGGUUCAAUUCCCCAGCUUCUCCC